rnacentral:RNase_P_RNA from 1 species
GGAGCAAGUUGGGCGAUCGCUGCAUUUUUAUGUAGAGGAAGGUCCGGACUCCUAGAACAAGGGUGACGGUUAACGGCCGUACGCAAUAGGUCAUCAUAGAUGUCUGAAGGCGAUGAAUAGGGCCACAGAGACGAGGAAGUAUUUGUUCGCAAAUACAGAUGUGAAACGGGCAACCUCCACCUGGAGCAACACCAAGUAGGCAUGUGCACUGUUAAUUACUGAAAGGUCUGUUCGACUGAGCAUGCGGGUAGGUGGCUGGAGCUUAUCAGUAAUGAUAAGCCAAGAUGGAUGAUCGCACAGAAUCUGAAAAUGAUUUGGACAGAAUCCGGCCUAUAGACUUGCUUCGCAC